rnacentral:rRNA from 1 species
CUUCGGGGACGAUAACGGCGUCGAGCGGCGGACGGGUGAGUAAUGCCUAGGAAAUUGCCCUGAUGUGGGGGAUAACCAUUGGAAACGAUGGCUAAUACCGCAUGAUGCCUACGGGCCAAAGAGGGGGACCUUCGGGCCUCUCGCGUCAGGAUAUGCCUAGGUGGGAUUAGCUAGUUGGUGAGGUAAGGGCUCACCAAGGCGACGAUCCCUAGCUGGUCUGAGAGGAUGAUCAGCCACACUGGAACUGAGACACGGUCCAGACUCCUACGGGAGGCAGCAGUGGGGAAUAUUGCACAAUGGGCGCAAGCCUGAUGCAGCCAUGCCGCGUGUGUGAAGAAGGCCUUCGGGUUGUAAAGCACUUUCAGUCGUGAGGAAGGUGGUAGUGUUAAUAGCACUAUCAUUUGACGUUAGCGACAGAAGAAGCACCGGCUAACUCCGUGCCAGCAGCCGCGGUAAUACGGAGGGUGCGAGCGUUAAUCGGAAUUACUGGGCGUAAAGCGCAUGCAGGUGGUUUGUUAAGUCAGAUGUGAAAGCCCGGGGCUCAACCUCGGAAUAGCAUUUGAAACUGGCAGACUAGAGUACUGUAGAGGGGGGUAGAAUUUCAGGUGUAGCGGUGAAAUGCGUAGAGAUCUGAAGGGAAU